rnacentral:rRNA from 1 species
CUUACGAAUCGCAUGGCUUGCGCGGGAUGGUUCAUUCAAAUUUCUGCCCUAUCAACUUUCGAUGGUAGGAUAGUGGCCUACCAUGGUUUUGACGGGUAACGGGGAAUUAGGGUUCUAUUCCGGAGAGGGAGCCUGAGAAACGGUACCACAUCCAAGGAAGGCAGAGGCGCGCAAAUUACCCAAUCCCAAUACGGGGAGGUAGUGACAAUAAAUACUGAUACAGGGGCUCUUUGGGUCUUGUAAUUGGAAUGAGAACAUUUUAAAUCCCUUAACGAGGAACCAAAUUGGAGGGGGCAAAGUCUUGGUGCCAGCAAGCCGGGGGUAAAUUUCCAA